rnacentral:rRNA from 1 species
UUGACGGGGCCCGGCACAAGCGGUGGAGCAUGUGGUUUAAUUUCGAUGAUACGCGAGGAACCUUACCUGGGCUCAAAUGUAUGUUGACGUAUUCUGAAAGGGAUACUUCUUCGGACAAUAUACAAGGUGCUGCAUGGUUGUCGUCAGCUCGUGCCGUGAGGUGUCGGGUUUAAGUCCCAUAACGAGCGCAACCCCUAUCAUUAGUUGCCAUCAGGUCAAGCUGGGACUCUAAUGAAACUGCCUACGCAAGUAGUGAGGAAGGUGGGGAUGACGUCAAAUCAGCACGGCCCUUACGUCCAGGGCUACACACGUGCUACAAUGGCCGAUACAGAGGGCAGCUACCUGGUGACAGGAUGCAAAUCUCCAAAGUCGGUCUCAGUUCGGAUCGGAGUCUGCAACCCGACUCCGUGAAGUUGGAUUCGCUAGUAAUCGCGCAUCAGCCAUGGCGCGGUGAAUACGUUCCCGGGCCUU